rnacentral:rRNA from 1 species
GGCGAGUGAAGCGGCAAAAGCUCAAAUUUGAAAUCUGGCACUUUCAGUGUCCGAGUUGUAAUUUGAAGAAGGUAUCUUUGGGUCUGGCUCUUGUCUAUGUUUCUUGGAACAGAACGUCACAGAGGGUGAGAAUCCCGUGCGAUGAGAUGACCCAGACCUAUGUAAAGUUCCUUCGAAGAGUCGAGUUGUUUGGGAAUGCAGCUCUAAGUGGGUGGUAAAUUCCAUCUAAAGCUAAAUAUUGGCGAGAGACCGAUAGCGAACAAGUACAGUGAUGGAAAGAUGAAAAGAACUUUGAAAAGAGAGUGAAAAAGUACGUGAAAUUGUUGAAAGGGAAGGGCUUGAGAUCAGACUUGGUAUUUUGUAUGUUACUCUCUCGGGGGUGGCCUCUACAGUUUACCGGGCCAGCAUCAGUUUGGGCGGUAGGAGAAUUGCAAAGAAAUGUGGCACUGCCUCGGUAGUGUGUUAUAGUCUUUGUCGAUACUGCCAGCCUAGACUGAGGACUGCGGCUUCGGCCUAGGAUGUUGGCAUAAUGAUCUUAAGUCGCCCGUCUUGAAACACGGACCA